rnacentral:lncRNA from 1 species
AUUUAAUCGAUCCGUCACUAGAAAAGUCAUACCCUGCAGAUGAAGUAUUGAGAUGCAUCCAAAUUGGGCUCUUAUGUGUCCAAGAAUCUAUAACGGAUCGACCUACCAUGCUGACUAUAAUUUUCAUGUUGGGUAACAACUCUGCUCUUUCUUUUCCUAAACGGCCUGCAUUUAUUUCAAAAACAACUCACAAGGGUGAAGAUCUAUCAUGCUCUGGUGAGGGACUUUUAUCUGUAAAUAAUGUGACCAUGACUGUGCUUCAACCUCGCUAAAUGCUUACACUCUCACAUGUUGUAUGUUUAUCCUCCAUGACAAUGAACACUACAAGAAAAAAGCCUUUCAUUGACUGUUUUUCACCAUCAUGGUAUGGUAUAUCUGUCAAGGUAUGUUACUAUUUAUAUAUGUCAUCUAUGCUAGUGUCAAGAAAAGUUUAAAGCUGUCUUGACAUUUACAUAUGUUAAGGUUGUUUCUAUUUCUACCAAUGAUGGAAUCUUUGUUAGUAUGACAUAUGUCAAUUUUCUUUCACUUUUGUCGAGGUUGGAUUCAACAUAUGUCAAGAUUUCUUAAUCUUAUGUCAAGGUUAACUUGCUCUUCUGUUAAGGUUGCUACAACAAAUGUCAAGGAUAAGUAUAAUAUGUCAAGGUUUCUAGCUAUUGCAAUGUCAAUGUUGGGCAUUGGCCAUCUGUCAAGGUUGCUUAUUUCAAAUUUAAUAUUAUUUUACUAUAAUUUUUAGUUUUAAUGGAAAAUGAACCUAUUACCAUAUGAAACUUGUUUCCAAAUUAAAUUUGAUACAUAUUUAAUUAUGAUAAUAAUAACUAAGUCCUAAAACAAUGUAAAUAAACCAUUACUCAAGGGGAAAAAUCUUUUUUCUACUUACUCUCUAUUUUCUAUAUACAAAAAAAAAAAAAAAAAAAACUAAUUGCAAACAUUCAAUUAAGAUAAUAUACAAACUUAAAUUGAAAAGUACAAUACUAUCUUCAUAAGAGGUGGUCACUAAUUCUUCAUCAUCUUCUUCUUUUUGCUAUAUUUCUUGAAUACCUAGUAGGAUAGACACAACAUUAAUAGAAAAGUAAGCAACAAGUAUAAAAAUAGCAUUUUUCAAAUUAUAAGGUACUUUCAAUUGCAAGAAUACAUUAAACAUACAUGCAAUUUGUAGAUACCAUAUAUCUAGCAUUAAUCUUCAAGCCCGACCCUCUAGAAAGACCCCAAAAUUGUCAACACCUCUAUCUCAAACCUAUGAUAGAAAAAAAAACGAUGUUAACAAAAAGAAAAGCUCAAAUUGUGAAAUUAGAUGUCUAACUACAAUGAAAUAUUUUUAAGAUUGAAUUCUAAGUUUAAUUAUUGUGUUUUUAUAUUAUGGACUUAAAUAACUAUAAUAGUAUACUUCUUUUUAAUUUCUAAAAGGAAUGCAAAAAGGAAAAGAGAAAACAAAAGUUUCAAAUAUAUCUUUCAUGUUAUUUUGGCUUCUAAAUAGAUAAAAACUCACAUUAUCCAAGAAAUUGUUAAAAUUAAAAUUGAGCAUAAAUUUUAAUCAUCUCAAUCAUAAAUAAUGAAAUAUCUAAAUUCAAAUUCAUAGAAACCACACUAACUAUUAAUUUCAUGCACCAAAUGCAUCUAAUCUUAACAAAAUAAAAAAUCAAGGAUAUUCUCCUUCAAUUCUAAUAGGAUAAUAGAUCUUAUGUGUGCAAAUUUUGUCUUUAUUUCAAGAAUUAAUAAAUGCACAAGCUAUCUAGUUGAGAGCUUAAAUCUGUAAAUUUUUAAAAGAAAUAAAUUAAUUAAAUAAACAAAAAAGGUCUAAGAAAUGGAAAAUCUCCAAAAUUAAAGAGAAAAUCAAGCACAUUUCAUAAAUGGGAAAGAGUUAUGCAAUAUGCUGCUAUUCUUUUCUAACUAAUGUGAAAUUGAAAACAAAUUUGACACAAAGUUGUGUGAGAAUACAUCUAUAAGGUUCAUAGAAAUAAUGUGUAGAUUGCCAUUUAAAGCUAUGUAAACUAAGAAUGACAAAUAGCAAAUUAUAUUAUUUAUAUCUAUCAUACCUUGUUAAAAUACCAUGUCAAAUAUUCCAUAGAUAGACAACUACGCAUGAGUAUGAAAAUGUUGUCUAGAUGUUUUUCUCAUAGGCAGCUAAUGCAUGAGUUCAUUGAAUUCAAAACUUAACAACAAUUAAAGCUGACAAAGCACCCAAUUAUCAAUUAUUAAAGAACUCUUAAUGGGAGCAAAAACUAAAACUAAUAAAGUAACUAAUAACAAAAUAUAAGAGUUGCAUUGGUACCCAAUAUAAUGUUCUUCCUAAUGUAAUUGUGCUCAUUAAAACAAAAAACUUCACGGCAUAAAUUAAUUGAAGACCCCGUACAAGCAACAAGAAAAUACUUCAUACCAUUAUAGUGGUAAUUAAGGAUUAUAGAAACAAUUUUAGUUGGCUUGUGACUAUGAAUCGAAGAAUUAAAAUUUUGUGAGGGUUGAUUUAUUGCUUAUCAAUAAGAUAGCAUAUCAAUAUUUAACAAAAGAAAGAGUUUCAAGCAAUCAUGAAUCAUAACAUUAAAAUUUAGCCCUAAAAAGAGGGGAAAAAACAAAGAGAAAGAACCAAACCAAAGGAGCCCAACUAAAAAUUCAAGUGCAUAAAUAAGUAAAAUUAAAUAGUUAACCAUAUUAAAGAGAAAACCAUGUCCCAUUAUGCAAAUUGUUUUUGUGUGCCCAAAUAUACAGUUCUGUUUCUUCAAAUUGCAUUAAAAGUCCAAUGGUAUCUGUAAAGGAAAUAAUAGAGAUAAAAUUUAAAGGUAAUCUACUCAUAAUUAUUUCAAUUAACACAUCCAAAUAUUAUGGAUCAAUAGAGAAAUCAAUUUAAAGAAAACUAAACAUCAGCCUUUACUAGCAUAAAACGAAAACAAAAUUUUUUUUUUUAAAAAAAAAAAAUAAUUCAUUAGAUAUCAGAUUAUUUUUGGGGCAACAAAAUUGAGACACAUAAUUGCAUUAACCAUUGAUGCCUACAAACUCAAUUCGAAACAUAAAAAUGAAAUUGAACAUGAAUUUCAAGCUUCAAAAUUGCGAACCAAAAAAACACUUACAAAAUGUUAGAAAAGAAUGGGAAGAAAAUUUCUAAAAUAGGAUAUUCUAAGAUGCCUUUUUUUAGUUAUCUUUCUUAGUUUUUCUAUAAUCAAAGAGAGUAAAAAAGGAAAAGAAAAAGUGAAGAUGGAAGAGAAUUAGAUAAUAGAGUAAAAUUCACCAAUUAUCUUAAUUGCAAUAAUUUUCAAGAUUACCCUUAAGCCAUAUUUGACUCAUUUUUUUUUUCAAACUUUCCUCGCGUUUUAAAAUGAACUUCUUUACAAAUGGAAAAUCUCAUAACUUAACAUAAUAAAUGAUAUCAAAAUAGAGAAGUUUGAACAUAAGUCAAUAAUUUCUCUAUUGUGUUAUUGCUACGAAUAUAUUUUGCAUGAGUAUAUUAUUUGGAUUCAUAGAGAUAGAAAGAAACCGAACUCUGUUAUUAUGUUGAACAACAAAUUUUCCUAAAAGUUUAAGCUUAUAGGAUUUGAGAUCAAUAUGUGUUUUAUGUCUGUUAACACUCAACACAUAUUUCAAUAAAAAAUUUCAUGAACUCCUCAAACAUUUAUACUACAUACAACUUAGGGCACCAAAGAAUACGAGUAAAAGGAGUAUAUGCUAGAAGUCAUUAUUUCUAAUGUUUAGUGGAUUUAAUAUUUAUAUUAUUAAAAAUUAAUAUUUAUGUGAAUAAAAAAUAUCUCAACAUAAAAUUACAAAAUUUUAAUUAUUUCUAAAGAAAUUUAUUAAAUUUAGAAAUUUUAAAAUUUAGUUUUUAUUAUCUGAUUUACUAUUAAAUGCUUAUUAUUUUGGUUUUCUUUAUUUUUUCAAUGGUCUUUUUCCCAAAUUAUUUCAUAUAUCUAUAAUUUUGUCGAUCUUUGACACGUGGAUUAUCUUGGAAAAUGUUCUUAAUAACAAAGAAAUAUUCCUUCUUGUGAUGAGUAUGAACUAGAAUUCUCGUUUUUUAGCGAAUAGAGCUCCCCAAUUUGGUGAGGAAAUGAGAUAGUCACUCUUUUUUUUUUGUAGUUACUCGCAUUAUGUACUCAAAGUAUUUAUCCAAAUAUCCAAUACACUUACGAAACCACACUUUUUCAUUUCCAAAAUGUAACAUACGUGACUAUAGGCUUGCACACUUGAAAAGCAAUACUGACAUUUAACAUCGAAGGAUUUAAUUGUGGUCUUGUGUUUUUUUGAGGUCCUAUAAACAGGUGAAAACUUAAAAUAACAUUGACUUGACCAACUCAACAUGUGAUUACGUUGUAUACGUCAAUGUAGUCAAUAGAAUUUCUUUCCCUUGACUUGGCAUCGAGUACGCUAGUGCCAGCCUUAUCUUCCCAUGGGAACUUGAACAAUUUGAGCAAUUGGCCAUUGCCAACCACAUUUUUAAGUAAUGUCUUCUUCCACCCUUCAAAUAUCUUAAAAUCCAUUAAGUUUUAUGUAGAUAUCAUUUUCACUUUUAAACCUUACUUAUUAUCAUUAAGCUUUGUAACGUAGCCGUCACUCACAAGUUGCACCAAAAUUGAAGUUUAACUGUUGGGUAGGCGCAAUUUUGAAGUGAUCAAGCUAUGAUACAUUUAAUACCACUGCAACUUGGUCUCAUUCAUAAAUGUGGUGUGGAGAUAGUACCAUAGUUUUAAAAGGCGCAAGGCACACCUAAGGCACAAAAGUAUCCUAUAACUUAGGCACAAGGCACAACACAAAGCGCUCACAUGAGUGAAGUGAAACCUAACCUAGUAUGCAUAUCAAUUUUAUAAAAUAUGAUACAAAACUCAAUCCAAUCAAUAAAAAAUUUAAUACUUUAAAAGAAGUAUUCAACAAAAAAAUAUAUGUAAUAAAAUUAUGUAGAUUUUAAUAUACAAUUAGAAAUUUCAAGAAUAAAAGUGUUUAAAAAUGAAAAGUAAAGUAGACAAGGCACACCUCUUCAACAAGGCACAUGUCUUGGCAAGCAAUGUACUAUAGCUAGGGAGUGGUUGUGCUUUGAGCCUAACCGUGCUUUAAGCACGCCUUUUAAAACUAUGGUUUGGUGACCAUUUUAAAAAACAAUUCUGAAAAAUAGUUUUUGAGAACAGUUUUUGAAAACUAUUCUCUGAUUCUUGUAGAUUAAUAAAAGUAUAUUUGGAAACCUAAAAUGUUUUUAUCUUGUUUUAAAUAUUUUUAAAUAUGUUUUAAAAGUAUUUUUAUAUCUAGUAUUUUAUUUUUAAUCAUUUUACAUGUUUGUAUAAUUAUUUCUUAAAACAAUUAUAAAAAAAACAAGUGAAAAAGUCAGAAAAUAAUUUUUAGUUGUCAAACAAUUUUUCUAUGUUUUUUGUUCUAGAAAACAAAAAACUAUUUUCAAAACCGGUUCCCAAACAUGCCUUUAAUAUGGGGUUGAGUGUUUUUUUUUUCUUGCUUUCAAGAUAUUAAGGAUUUAUAUUCUUAAUUUUUUUUCCCAUCUAUUUUCCCCACAAUCAAAUAAGCAUUAUUUAUUGUUAUACUUCCAUGACAAGGAAAGAAAGACAAAACAAAAUGUUGUAUAAUUUGAGACUUGGUGCUACAUGGCUGCAAGACUCUCUAGGAGAUAAGGAGCAUGAAGAAAGUACAACCAAUUCUGAAUUACAAUUCUUUGAUAUGAACACCAUAGCUACAGCCACAAAUAAUUUCUCUUCUAAGAACGAACUUGGAUGUGGUGGUUUUGGCUCAGUUUAUAAGGUAGUUAGUCAUUCUCAAAUUUAUGAUGACAUUGCACAAGUAUCACGCUAAGCUGAAUUUUCCAUAAACUAAUUCUACAUGAUGAUUACCAGGGUCAACUAUCUAAUGGAAAAGAAAUAACUAUGAAAAGAUUAUCAAAGGAUUCGGGACAGGGAAAAAAAGAAUUUAAGAAUGAAGUAACACUUAUUGCUAAACUCCAACACAUAAAUCUUAUGAGGCUUUUGGGUUGUUGCAUUCAAGGAAAAGAGAAGAUGUUCAUUUAUGGGUCCUUGCCAAACAAAAGUCUCGACUUUUUCAUUUUUAGUAUGUACCAUUUCUUUUCUAUCAUUUCCAUUUCUUUAAUCUUCUAAGGUUCUUGCAUAAUCACUUGGAGAAGUUAUUUGCCUAAUAAAAAUCAUUAUUAGUAUAUCCCAACUUUGUUUUACUGAUUGACAUUUUAUAUAUCUUUGGGCUAGAUGGAAAAAAAAAAAAAAAGUCAGUGUUAGAUUGGAGAAAACGCUUUGAAAUUAUUAUGGGAAUUGCUCAAGGAAUCUUAUAUCUUUAUGAGGACUCUAGAUUAAGAGUCAUACGUACACAGAGAUCUAAAAGCAAGCAAUGUUCUACUGGAUGUUGAAAUGCUUCCAAAAUUUUCAGAUUUUGGCAUGGCUGGAAUAUUUGGAGGAAAUCAAAUGGAAGGAAACACAAAUCGAGCAGUUGGAACAUAGUAAGUGUCAUGUUUGAGAUGCCAAAGAAACAAAAUAGUUAAUAUGUUUUAAUAGUUUCUUUUAUUUUCUAUUACAGUGGUUACAUAUCACCUGAGUAUACGAUGGAAGGGUUAUUUUCAACAAAAUUUGAUGUCUAUAAUUUCGGAGUUUUGUUGUUAGAGAUUGUUACUGGAAGAAAAAAUAGCACUUAUUAUCAAGAUAGUUCAUCUGUUAACUUAGUUGGAAAUGUAAAUGAGAAUGUGUGUUGCAUUACUUUUUUCUUUUCAUUCUUUAUAGUAAGUUAAUAAUGGUAAAAUUCUUAGUUUUGGAACCUAUGGGAAGAAGACAAAGCCUUGGAUAUAAUCGAUCUGUCGCUUGAGAAGUCAUACCUUGUAGAUGAAGUAUUGAGAUGCAUCCAAAUUGGGCUCUUAUGUGUGCAAAAAUUUACAAUAGAUCAACCUACCAUGUUGACAAUUAUUUUCAUCUUUGGUAACAACUCUUCUCUUCAUUUUCCUAAACGGACUACAUUUAUGUCAAAAACAACUCAUAGGGGGGAAGACCUAUCAUCCUAUGGUGAAGGACUUUUCUCUGUAAAUGAUGUGACCAUGACUUUGCUUCAACCUCGCUAAUUGCUUACACUCUCACAUGUUGUAAGUUUAUCCUCCAAGACAAUGAAUUGUGUACACAAUAUCACAAAGAGAACACCUUUUGAUUUAGUGAUCAUAGUUAGAUAAUUAUCCAACUCUGUAAAUGUAUGUUCAAAGAUAGGGCAAGAAUGGAAGCUUGUAGGUAUAGUCAAAUAAUCAAUUAAGUAUGAUUAGCUCUCAACAUUAAGGCCCUAAAAUCAUAUAAUUAAAAUGGUUCAAAUGGAGCUAAUAGAUCAAAUAGUUCCAUAUGGGUAAUGGAAGAGCUUGGAAUGAAGCAAUGCAUUGGUUCUUAUGCUAUGCCUGAUGAUGGAAAGACUGAAUGUUCAAUUGGUAAAUCUUCAAAUCUGCAAAAUAAUUGGAGACUAUCACGAGGCAUUUCUCAUAUUUUCCUUUUUGCUAGGAUGGUCAAAUCUGCUUUCUCUUUUAAAUUCAAGGCAUACUCGUGGUUCCUAAAAUGAAUUACUAGGGCCAUUCACUUUUCCUAUCAAGCAGUGAGUGACAAUUGGAAAAUAUGCCCAUUUGAAUUUUGGAUCGUUGGUUGCCUUUACCAUAAGGCAUCUUAGUGUUGUAUUGAUUCCUGAAGUAGUCAAUAAAUGAAAAGAAGUUUUUCUAUUUUGGGCAUGGCACAUGAUAUCAAAUUUGGCAGUAUAUGGAUGUUUAGUAUAUGAGCAUCUUUAUUGCAAAUGAUUUUACAAAUCUUCAGUACAUUCUUCAUCGGAUUUCUACUUUUGAUCUAUUAAAUACUGUAGAUGGUCGAACAUGGGUGCCAACUACAAGGUAUGACUUCAGAUCCAAGACAUCUAAAAUUCAAAGUUAAGAAUUGAUUAUGUGAAAUCAAGGGGAAAAAUAUCAUUGGGAAAUGAAAACAAUUUUGAGAAAUGAUAAUUACAAAGACUUUAAAGAGUGAAAAGUUGAUUGACCUUGGGUAUAGUUGGACAAUCCAACCGAUUAUACUAUCAUCGAGUUAGGUUGGGAGAGGGAGAGCCAACAUAUUCAUAACUUUAAGAUGAAAAAUGGUUUAGUUUAAGGACCUCAGGGCAUCCCUAAUUUGGUUGGUUUUUAGUACUGACUAAUGGUAAGAUUUUCCUCUUUUUUUUCUUUACUUUUUUUCCAAUCUCAUUGACAAAUGAGUGACAAUGAGUGUUAAAAGAAUAAUUAAAGAGACAACAUUACUUCAAGGCGGGGCACAAGGGAAGAAAGACAACAAAAAGUGUUAUAAUUUGAGUUUUAUUGCUACAUGCCUCAAGAAUUAGUCCCCAAGAACAAAGGAGUGAAGUGUAAAUAGUGUAAAUUCUAAAUUAUCAAGGAAUUCAAGAUAAGGAGUAGAAGAAUUAAUAUAAGAAAACAUGAAUAUAAGGAUCCUGUGAAGUUCUUAGGUUGUUGCAUAUAAGGAGAAGAUAAAGAUGUUAGUCUAAGAAUACUUAUUGAACAAUAGUUUGAACUCUUUUAUUUUCAUCCUAUCUUUUUAUUUUAUUUUAUUUUUUUAUUUUGACAAUUUCUAAAUCUCUUCAUCUCUUUUGCUUGUGAUCUCACCGUUAUCACAUGAAAAAUUUGUUUUACAUUAAAACUAUUGUGGACCCGCAUUUUUCACGUGCGCCCCCACUCGAUCGGCGAGACUCGCUUUUUAUUUGUGAAAAAUUAAUUUUUGGAAAAAAGUUGGAGUCGCCACUUAUUUUAUUUUUAUUUUUAAAGGGAAAAUAAAACAAGAAAUAAAACCCUAAAAAAUGACUCCAUAAUUUUUGGAAAAGCGUGUCUUUGAAAAACCAAGUCUCGGUCCGAGGAUCAGGUUACCUAUUGGGAAGGUACCUCUAAGAGGUAGCACCCCUUUAAGCCCUAUAAGGGUCUCUACUAACUAAGUUGAGGGAAAUGUGACAAUUAAUUGGUUAAUUAUAAGUACCUAAGUAGGCUAGGUGAUUCAAAAAAAAAUAGCAUGCCAAACGAAAUCAAAUCACAAUAAAGGAGAGUUAGGGUACAUACCUGGACUGCCUCUCAAGCGUUAUCACAAGACAUCAAAGUUAGUAUAGAGAUAUAGCACGCAACAUGCAUCUUAUCCAAGCAAGUCAAACAUACAUCUAAGCACCCAAGGAUUAAAUCAAAACAUGGAUAUAGCUCAUGAUAGCAUGCAUUUUCAUAGAAUUUUGGAAUUAGAGGAUAGAGAACGUACUUGGAUAGCAAGUAUAUUUUAUAAGAUUCCUCGAAAAAUGCUAGAUUGGUUAGGGCAAGCAUAAAUUAUAUGAAAUAUCCAUUAUGUCUAAUAUACAGUUUCAAAGCCAAAAUUGAGCUAAGACAAAUUAAAUGACUCCAAAAAUAAUAACAAUUUCAAGUAAGGUAUAAAACCAUCAACAUGCGGUUAGAAAAUGAAGCAUCAUAAAACAAUUUCUAAAAAAAUGGCUUAGAGUGGAAUUUGAUUACAAAAAAUUUCAGGAAACAACUCCUACACACCUAGAUUAAUAUACCGAAAGCCAAACACUCAUUCAAAAGACAGAUUAUCGCAAAGGCACCUAAAGGUUCUACAAAGUCCAGAUUAGAUAAGGAAAAGUGACGUGCAUAAAUGAAUUUUUUAAAACUAAUAAAUGAUCAUAUAAAAUCAUUAAAAAGAAAUCAUACAUAUUUCAAAAUGUCUAUAUCACAUAAAAAAUAAAUUCGGGGUCGAAUAGUACUUACAAAUAUUUUUAAAACUAUAAAUCUAAUCAGAUGUACAAACUCCAGCAUGCGCAGUAGGCACAACUUUGAAAAAUCAUAUCUCCCUCAAAAAUGCAUAUUUUCUAAUAUUUUAUGUGUCUAAAAUCAAUUUCAAGAAGCUUAUAAUUGAGAAAAAAAUAUUGAAUCAAUUUUAAAAAGUCCUCUAGUAUUUUAUUUUUUCCAAAAGAUCUUGGGUGUCCAGAACUAUGUGAAAACGGAGUCCCCCUAAAGACUCAUUUAUAUCUUCUAUCUCAGAAUGACUUUCUAACUCAAACAAAACCUCAAAUUCAAGUUCAAGAAGUGAGGAAAGUCAUAAAAUUUCUGGAAAUUUUUUACAGAUAUCCUAAAGUUUUCAAAAUGAAUUUUUGAAGUUGAAGGGUCAGUGGUUUGAUGAAAACUGCAGCAAAGAUUAAAUCAUUUAAUACCUAAGAUGGGUAGUUCUUUUCUUUUUAACAAACCGAUUUUAGAUCAAGAAAUCUCAGUAGGAAGGGGUCUCAACAGGUAUACUGAUGUUAUAGCUGCACCUGAGAUGACAAAGUCUUGCGUAUUUUGUAGGAAGAUAAUCAUAAACAGGGUGCACAAUGGGGAAUUCUUGUCAGAAUGGUAGCUACUCCCUUACGUGUUGAAGCUGAUGUAUAAUAUAAUUUCCCCACUAGCUGCCACCAUCCCUACAUAUCUAUCACUAUCAUCCAGCCCUGAUCCCAAGGGACCCACCAUUUGAAGUCUCAUUUAAAAAAAAAACAUAAAUUUUAUGCUGCAAUCUGGAUCUAAUUCCACUACCCUUUUGACCACUGAAGUUGUGCAAUGUACGAAUGUUUUGUCCACCAAUCUGCUGCUCUCUCUUUUAAGUGUACACCACUCUUAUAAAUCUCAUGCACAACUUCCUCUUUGAGUGUAUACACCCUCUCUCUCAAGCACAAAUUAGAACACGAAACCAAUUAUAGAACAAAGUGAUAAUAUCACUGAGUAAGGAGUUCUCAACAAACAUACUGAGGAACGCUCUCUUCUGGCAAGGAGAUCCCACUGGUAUGUCGUCUGAGAUUUCUUCAACCGCCCUCUCCUUCUUCUCCACCAACAGCUUCUCACUAGAAAGUCUUCUCUGAAACUCCAAUUUUUCCGCCUCUCUCUCUUUUUUUUUUUUUUUUUUCUUCUAUGUGCUCAAAGUUCUCCCCCCAAAACCUAUCUGUUAUAGCUUUUUAUAGCAAAUAACAGUCCUUCUACGUGAGGAGUCUUCCUCUCUCCAAAUUUUAUCUUAUGCACCGGAAAAACUCAUUUUUUUUUAAAUUUCAAACAAUACCAAUCCACGCAUAUCACCUACAAUCCAUGCAUAUCAUUUAAAGAGUUUUACCGUUUUCAAAAACUUCUUCAAUGGUAGACUUCUUCCAUAAAAAUUUCAAAUUAUUGAAUUAAAUAAUAAAAUAAAUAAUAAAUAAUAAAAUAAAUAAAUAAAUCGAAGAAUAUAAAAUGAUAAUAAUAGAUAAAUGAAUAAAUAACAAGAUAAUAAACAAAUAAGUAAGAAUACUAAAUAACUAAAUAACUAAAAAUGAUUGAUAAUAAUGAAAAAAUAUUAAAAUAAAUGAAUAAAUAAAACCAUAAUAAAUGAUCAAAUAAAAGUGGUUAGUAAUAAUAAAAAAAUAAAAAUAAAUAAAUAAGUAAAUGAGAUAAAUGAGUCAUACAACCAUACAAGUCAUACUAAAAAAAAGACUAAUGGGCCAAGUGGGCCUGAGUGAACUUAGACAGGUCUGGGGUGUCUAAAUAGACCAAGUGUAUCUAAAUAGGCUUAGGGUGCCUAAAUGGGUCAAGGGUGCCUAAGUAAAGUCUAGUCUAAAUCAAGACUACCGAGGAUCACAAUAAAGGGGCGGAUAAUCCCUUAACCAAAGUCUCCGAGGUGACUCAGAAAAAGGUAAGUCGUACGAGUAGUAAUGGGCAACCAAGGAACUACCGUGGAGCACUGGAAGUGAAUUUAAAGACAUGUGCUAAAAGGACAAAAUUGAGGGUCUACAACUAUAUAAUAGUAUUUUAAUAUGGUGUCAGAGUCUCAUUUGGUGUGAGAUCAUGUAUUCAAAUCUAAUUGUAUAUUUAUUUUCCAAUUUGUAGUUGUUUGCCUAUUGGGGGUCACACGCGAGGAAGGGUAUUAAAAACAUAAUAUAGCUUACGAACUCAAAUCUUAUAAGUAGAAAAAUUAUAAUUUGUUUAAACCUUUAGAAAACUUGUAGUUUAACAUGAUUAAACUUUCAUAUUUUUUGUUUUGAUGAGACAAAAAUGUCAAUUUUAGAUUGGAUAAAAAAUUUCAAAAUUAUUGUUGAAAUUUCUUAAGGACUUUUAACUUAUGUUUGGUUUCUUGAAAAUAAUAUGAAACAAAAUUAUAAGAAAAUGAUUCCCUCUUGUUUAACUUAUUAUAGAAAAUAUUAUAAAAAUUUAAAUAUAAUUAAAAUGAGUAAGAAAUUAAUGUAUUUUUAAAUUAUUUAAUCUUUAUAUAGAAGAGAAAAAACUAUUUUUUUUUUUUUUUCACUUUUUCCUUCUAUUUUCACUUAGUGUUUUCUAUCCCUUACAUUUUUCGUCAAAUCUUCCAAGAACCAAAUAUAGGGUUAUAUCUUCAUCAAGACUUAAACCAUACAUAGCGAUAUAAAAGCAAGCAAUUAAUAUUCUACUAUAUACUAAAAUGAUUCCAAAAAUUUCAGAUAGAUUUUGGUAUGGCUAAAAGAUUUGGAGGGAACCAAAUAGAAGGAAACACAAAUCUGGUGAGGUUGGAACAUGGUUAGUGUCAUGCACCAAAUGUCAAAACACAACAUUGAACAAAUCUUUCCAGUUUGUUUUAUUUGUCACUGCAGCAGCUAUAUAUAACUUUUGUGUCAUCUGAGUAAGUAAUGGAAGGGUUAUUUUCAAUAAAAUAUGAAGUUUAUAGCUUUGGAGUUUUGCUAUUAGAAAUUAUUUUGGGAGAAAAAACAAUUAAUGCUCACUACCAUGAUAAUCCCUCCUUGAACUUGGCUGGACAUGUGAGUUACUUGAAUUUCUUAUAGCUUACUUCUUCUUCACUGUAAGCUGAUGCUAUAAAAAAAUAAAUUCAGGUUUGUAACUUAUGUAGAGAAGGCAAAGCUUUGGAUAUGAUUGAUCCUUUAUUAGAAAAGUCAGAUCCUGCAGAUGGAUGAAGUGCCGACAUGCUUCCAAAUUGGGCUCUUAUCUGUGCAAGAAUGCCAACUACCUACCAUGUUCUUUGGUAACAACCCUACUCUUCCUUCUCCUAAGCCACCUGCAUUUAUUUUGAAAAUUAGCAUGUAACAAUGGUGAGUUCCCAUCAACAUCAAGUGUAGGAAGCUUGUUUUGAAGCUUGCUGAUUGCUCAAGCUCUGAUAAGUUGUAAAAAUUAAUUAUUUUACCUACCAGAGGUAGUGUACACAAAUAUCAUUAAAGUUCUCUCUCUCUCUCUCUCUCUUCUGGUUUUUCUCCAAAGGCAACAAUGACGUAAAAUAUUGAGAAGAACCACACAGUCUAACAUCAGCUUCCUCCAUGUCAAGAAUGAGAUACAAAGGUUGUAGUGUAAAAAGUUUAAAAUAUUGUUCCCUGGAAUGAUCUCAACUUCUUGAUGAUUUGUUUCUGCAGCAUCUGCUAAUGGUUCUUGACCUGUUUCUUUCAGCCCAUAGCUGCUCCAUCCUUGGCCCAAUCUUUUUCUAUUUAUUAUUGCGAAUUAAACGAACCCAUUCCUAUCUGAUCAUGAACUGAUCUCUUGGCACAAGGCCUAGAUAAGACAGCCUGUUCUUGUACUUCUUUUAAUGUUGCUACUACUUAACUAACAGUUCCAAGGUAGCUGAUGCUGAGGGAUAUUUCACAAUAUUCACCAUAUUUUAGGUACCAUUUUAAAUUAGUAUAAUAUAUAAAAUAAAAAAGAAAAUAAAGAUAUUUUAUCCUAGGUUUAUUUAUAUAUAUAUAUUAACUUUUUUUUAUUACUUAUUUUGAAAAAUAAAAUUUUUUAUUUAUAAAUUUUAAAUAUUUUUAAUCAUGAGUAUUAUUAAUAAAUAAAUAAAUAAUUAUUUACUAAAUAUCAAAUUAUUGAAAAUUUUCUAAAUAUCAUUAAAUGUAAGAGAAAAUUUAUAUUUUUUAAUAGCACAUAUAGAAAUAUAAUAUAAUUUUAUUUUAAACAAAUAUUGGAAAUUUGAGAAAUAAUAUUCAUAAGCUUGCAAACUUGAAAAGCCAUAUUGACAUUUAACAAUGAAGGAUUUAAAUGUGGUCUUGAUUUUUUGACGUCCUAAAAACAGGUGAAAACAUAAAAUAACAUUGACUUGACCAACUCCAUGGGAUAUAAGUUUCAAUGUGGUCAAUAGAAUCCAUAAGCAUUAAUCAAUAAUUAAGUGGGUCCUUCUUUCCCUUGACUUGGCAUCGAGUAGGCUAGCGCCAGCCUCAUCUUCGCAUGGGAGACGGCAAAUGCACCAAAUAUAGCAGGAACAAUUGAGCAAUUGGCCAUUGCCAAACACCUCUUUAAGUAAUGCCUUCAUCCUCCCUUCAAAUAUCUUAAAUCGAUUCAAUUUUAGGUAGAUAUCAUUGUCACUUUUGACCCUUACUUUUUAUCAUUAAGCUCCGUCAUGUAGUCGCCACUCGCCAGUUCAAUUCAUGCAUCAAAAUUGAAGUUUAACAGUUGGGUUGGUGCAAUUUUGAAGUGAUCAAUGCUAUGAUAGGUUUAAUGCAACUGCAACUUUGUCCAAUUCAUAAAUGUGGCGUGGAGAUAGUACAAAUGCAAUUCUCACGUCAUUUGCUCCACUUGUUCCUUCACGGUAUGCCUCGUUAGUUUGUGUUGUAGACUUUCUCUGUCUCUUCCACCAGCGCUCAGCAUCGGUAACACGGAAGUCACCACUUUAUCAGGAAGUCACAUAUGCAUCCUGUAAAGAUGUUUCUUCAGUACUUGAUUCUAUUCCUUAUGCUCCCACUUUGCAGCUCCACUGACACCAUAACUCCUAACCAACCCUUCAGAGAUGGUGACCUUCUAGUCUCUAAAGAGUCCAGGUUUGCUCUUGGCUUCUUCAGUCCACGGAAUUCUACACUCCGAUAUAUUGGAGUUUGGUACAACACAAUUCGUGAACAAACCGUUGUAUGGGUUCUUAACAGAGACCAUCCUAUCAAUGAUACCUCCGGAGUCCUCUCCAUCAACACUUCUGGAAACCUCCUUCUGCACCGCGGAAACACUCAUGUAUGGUCCACAGACGUUUCCAUCUCAUCAGUGAACCCUACUGUGGCUCAGCUGUUAGAUACCGGAAACCUAGUCUUGAUCCAAAAAGAUGACAAGAUGGUUGUGUGGCAAGGCUUUGAUUAUCCCACAGAUAAUUUGAUUCCACACAUGAAACUCGGACUGAAUCGGAGAACCGGUUACAACAGGUUCCUAACCUCUUGGAAGUCCCCAACUGACCCAGCAACCGGGAAAUACUCGCUUGGAUUUAACGUCAGUGGGUCUCCUCAAAUAUUUUUGUACCAGGGUUCAGAGCCGCUAUGGAGAAGCGGUCACUGGAACGGGCUCCGGUGGAGCGGUCUGCCGGUGAUGAUGUACAGAUUCCAACACAAAGUUAGCUUUUUGAACAAUCAAGAUGAAAUCUAUUAUAUGUUUAUUAUGGUCAACGCGUCGUUUCUCGAGCGGCUGACGGUGGACCACGAGGGAUAUAUCCAGCGGAACAUGUGGCAGGAAACGGAAGGCAAAUGGUUCAGCUUCUACACAGCCCCAAGGGACAGGUGCGACAGGUACGGCCGGUGCGGACCCAACAGCAACUGUGACAACAGCCAGGCCGAGUUUGAGUGCACGUGCCUGGCGGGAUUCGAGCCCAAGUCGCCACGUGACUUGUUCUUGAAAGACGGCUCAGCGGGAUGUCUGAGGAAGGAAGGAGCGAAGGUGUGCGGGAACGGGGAAGGGUUUGUGAAGGUGGGAGGUGCGAAGCCCCCAGAUACAUCGGUGGCACGUGUGAACAUGAACAUCAGCAUGGAAGCGUGUAGAGAGGAGUGCCUGAAGGAGUGUUCUUGCAGUGGAUACGCGGCUGCAAAUGUGAGUGGAAGUGGGAGUGGGUGCUUGUCUUGGCAUGGGGAUUUGGUGGAUACAAGAGUGUUUCCUGAAGGGGGCCAAAAUUUAUAUGUGCGUGUGGAUGCCAUCACUCUAGGUAUGCUAGCAUUUAAUUGUCAGGAUUCAUGAAUGAUUUCUCUCCCAGAUUUACGAGAUCAUUUAUGAUGUUUUUUUUCGUGUAUUUUUUUAGCUGAAAAUCAAAAGCAGUCAAAAGGUUUCCUUGCGAAGAAGGGGAUGAUGGCAGUUUUGGUGGUGGGGGCUACUGUGAUUAUGGUUCUGUUGGUCUCCACAUUUUGGUUCUUAAGGAAGAAGAUGAAAGGUAAUCAAACAAAAAUUCUUAUGGCUCAUUUAAGCCUUCUAUCCAAUGUUUGUGUCUUGGGCAUGGAUUAACAUGAAGAGAUUAAUAAGAAAAGCCAAACAUUUCUAAGCUCAGUUACCCAGUGAAUUAAUCUGGGAUAGAGUCUUUUUUCCUUGCUUUCAUGGUAUUAAGGAAUUGUAUUAUUUCUUCUUUUUUUUCCCAUUUAUUUUCCCCCACAAUCAAAAAAGCAUUAUUUAUUGUUAUACUUCCAUGACAGGGAGAGGAAGACAAAACAAAAUGUUGUAUAAUUCGAGACCUGGCGCUACAUGGUUGCAAGACUCUCCAGGAGCUAAGGAGCAUGAUGAAAGUACAACCAAUUCUGAAUUACAAUUCUUUGAUCUGAACACCAUAGUUGCAGCCACAAAUAAUUUCUCUUCUGAGAACGAACUUGGACGUGGUGGUUUUGGCUCAGUUUUUAAGGUAGUCAGUCAUUCUCAAAUUUGUGAUGACUAUUGAAAUUGUUGGACUUUCUUUCAUUGCACAAACAUUACGCUAAGCUGAAUUUUUCUAACUGUGAAUAAGUUAAUUCUACAUGACGAUUAUCAGGGUCAGCUAUCUAAUGGACAAGAAAUAGCUGUGAAAAAAUUAUCAAAGGAUUCGGGACAAGGAAAAGAAGAAUUUAAGAAUGAAGCGACACUUAUUGCAAAACUCCAACACGUGAAUCUUGUGAGGCUUGUGGGUUGUUGCAUUACAGAAGAAGAGAAUAUGUUAGUCUAUGAGUACUUGUCAAACAAAAGUUUAGACUCUUUCAUUUUUGGUAUGUAGCAUUUAUUUUUGCCAUUUCCAUUUCUUUAAUCUUCUAAGGUUCUUGCAUAAUCACUUGGAGAAGUUAUUUGCCUAAUAAAAAUCAUUAUUGGUAUAUCCUAAUAUUGUUUUAAUGAUUGAUAUUUUAUAUAUCUUUCGGCCAGAUGAAACAAAGAAGUCAUUGUUAGAUUGGAGGAAACGCUUUGAAAUUAUUGUCGGAAUUGCUCGAGGUAUCUUAUAUCUUCAUGAGGACUCUAGAUUAAGAAUCAUACAUAGAGAUCUAAAAGCAAGCAAUGUUCUACUCGAUGCCGAAAUGUUUCCAAAAAUUUCAGAUUUUGGCUUGGCUAGAAUAUUUCGAGGAAAUCAAAUGGAAGGAAACACAAAUCGAGUAGUUGGAACAUAGUAAGUGUUAUGUUUGAGAUGCCAAAGAAACAUAUUAGUUAAUAUGUUUUAAUAGUUUCUUUUAUUUGCUAUUGCAGUGGUUACAUGUCACCUGAGUAUGCGAUGGAAGGGUUAUUUUCAACAAAAUCCGAUGUCUAUAGCUUCGGAGUUUUGUUGUUAGAGAUUAUUACUGGGAGAAAAAAUAGCACCUAUUAUCGGGACGGUCCAUCCAUAAGCUUAGUUGGAAAUGUAAGUGAGUUGCAUGUGUUGCAUUACUUUUUUUUUUUUUUUUUCAUUCUUUACAGUAAGCUAAUAAUGGUAAAAUUAUCAGGUUUGGAACCUAUGGGAAGAAGGCAAAGCCUUAGAUAUAAUCGAUCUGUCACUACAAAAGUCAUACCCUACAGAUGAAGUAUUGAGAUGCAUCCAAAUUGGGCUCUUAUGUGUCCAAGAAUCUGUAACGGAUCGACCUACCAUGUUGACUAUUAUUUUCAUGUUGGGUAAUAACUCUGCUCUUCCUUUUCCUAAACGACCUGCAUUUAUUUCAAAAACAACUCACAAGGGUGAAGAUCUAUCAUCCUCUGGUGAGGGACUUUUAUCUGUAAAUAAUGUGACUGUGACUGUGCUUCAACCUCGCUAAAUGCUUACACUCUCACAUGUUGUAUGUUUAUCCUCCAUGACAAUGAACACUACAAGAAAAAAGCCUUUCGUUGACAGUUUUUCACCAUCAUGGUAGGGUAUAUCUGUCAAGGUAUAUUACUAUUUAUAUAUGUCAUCUAUGCCAGUGUCAAGAAAAGUUUAAAGUUAUCUUGACAUUUACAUAUGUUAAGGUUGUUUCUAUUUUUACCAAUGAUGGAAUCUUUGUUAGUAUGACAUAUGUCAAUUUUCUUUCACUUUUGUCAAGGUUGGAUUCAACAUAUGUCAAGAUUUCUUGAUCUUAUGUUAAGGUUAACUUGCUCUUCUAUUAAGGUUGCUACAACAAAUGUCAAGGAUAAGUAUAAUAUGUCAAGGUUUCUAGCUAUUGCAAUGUCAAUGUUGGGCAUUGGCCAUCUGUCAAGGUUGCUUAUGACAAAUUUAAUAUUAUUUUACUAUAAUUUUUAGUUUUAAUGGAAAAUGAACCUAUUACCAUAUGAAACUUGUUUCCAAAUUAAAUUUGAUACAUAUUUAAUUAUGAUAAUAAUAACUAAGUCCUAAAACAAUGUAAAUAAAUCAUUACUCAAGGGGAAAAAUCUUUUUCUACUUACUCUCUAUUUUUCUAUAUGCUAAAAAAAACUAAUUGCAAACAUUCAAUUAAGAUAAUAUACAAACUUAAAUUGGAAAGUACAAUACUAUCUUCAUAAGAGGUGGUCACUAAUUCUUCAUCAUCUUCUUCUUUUUGCUAUAUUUCUUGAAUACCUAGUAGGAUAGACACGACAUUAAUAGAAAAGUUAGUAACAAGUAUCCAAAUAGCAAUUUUCAAAUUAUAAGGUACUUUCAAUUGCAAGAAUACAUUAAACAUAUAUGCAAUUUGUAGAUACCAUAUCUCUAGCAUUAAUAUUCAAGCCCGACCCUCUAGAAAGACCCCAAAAUUGUCAACACCUCUAUCUCAAACCUAUGAUAGAAAAAACAAACGAUGUUAACAAAAAGAAAAGCUCAAAUUGUGAAAUUAGAUGUCUAACUACAAUGAAAUAUUUUUAAGAUUGAAUUCUAAGUUUAAUUAUUGUGUUUUUAUAUUAUGGACCUAAAUAACUAUAAUAGUAUACUUCUUUUUAAUUUCUAAAAGGAAUGCAAAAAGGAAAAGAGAAAACAAAAGUUUCAAAUAUAUCUUUCAUGUUAUUUUGGCUUCCAAAUAGAUAAAAACUCAAAUUAUCCAAGAAAUCGUUAAAAUUAAAAUUGAGCAUAAAUUUUAAUCAUCUCAAUCAUAAAUAAUGAAAUAUCUAAAUUCAAUUUCAUAGAAACCACACUAACUAUUAAUUUCAUGCACCAAAUGCAUCUAAUCUUAACAAAAUAAAAAAUCAAGGAUAUUCUCCUUCAAUUCUAAUAGGAUAAUAGAUCUUAUGUGUGCAAAUUUUGUCUUUAUUUCAAGAAUUAAUAAAUGCACAAGCUAUCUAGUUGAGAGCUUAAAUCUGUAAAUUUUUAAAAGAAAUAAAUUAAGUAAAUAAACAAAAAAGGUCUAAGAAAUGGAAAAUCUCCAAAAUUAAAGAGAAAAUCAAGCACAUUUCAUAAAUGGGAAAGAGUUAUGCAAUAUGCUGCUAUUUUUUUCUAACUAAUGUGAAAUUGAAAACAAAUUUGACACAAAGUUGUGUGAGAAUACAUCUAUAAGGUUCAUAGAAAUAAUGUGCAGAUUGCCAUUUAAAGCUAUGUAAACUAAGAAUGACAAAUAGCAAAUUAUAUUAUUUAUAUCUAUCAUACCUUGUUAAAAUACCAUGUCAAAUAUUCCAUAGAUAGACAACUAGGCAUGAGUAUGAAAAUGUUGUCUAGAUGUUUUUCUCAUAGGCAGCUAAUGCAUGAGUUCAUCGAAUUCAAAACUUAACAACAAUUAAAGCUGACAAAGCACCCAAUUAUCAAUUAUUAAAGAACUCUUAAUGGGAGCAAAAACUAAAACUAAUAAAGCAACUAAUAACAAAAUAUAAGAGUUGCAUUGGUACCCAAUAUAAUGUUCUUCCUAAUGUAAUUGUGCUCAUUAAAACAAAAAACUUCACGGCAUAAAUUAAUUGAAGACCCCGUACAAGCAACAAGAAAAUACUUCAUACCAUUAUAGUGGUAAUUAAGGAUUAUAGAAACAAUUUUAGUUGGCUUGUGACUAUGAAUCGAAGAAUUAAAAUUUUGUGAGGGUUGAUUUAUUGCUUAUCAAUAAGAUAGCAUAUCAAUAUUUAACAAAAGAAAGAGUUUCAAGCAAUCAUGAAUCAUAACAUUAAAAUUUAGCCCUAAAAAGAGGGGAAAAAACAAAGAGAAAGAACCAAACCAAAGGAGCCCAACUAAAAAUUCAAGUGCAUAAAUAAGUAAAAUUAAAUAGUUAACCAUAUUAAAGAGAAAACCAUGUCCCAUUAUGCAAAUUGUUUUUGUGUGCCCAAAUAUAUAGUUCUAUUUCUUCAAAUUGCAUUAAAAGUCCAAUGGUAUCUGUAAAGGAAAUAGUAGAGAUAAAAUUUAAACGUAAUCUACUCAUAAUUAUUUCAAUUAACACAUCCAAAUAUUAUGGAUCAACAGAGAAAUCAAUUUAAAGAAAACAAAACAUCAGUCUUUACUAGCAUAAAACGAAAACAAAAGUUUAAAAAAAAAAAAAAUUCAUUAGAUAUCAGAUUAUUUUUGGGGCAACAAAAUUAAGACACAUAAUUGCAUUAACCAUUGAUGCCUAUAAACUCAAUUCGAAACAUAAAAAUGAAAUUGAACAUGAAUUUCAAGCUUCAAAAUUGCGAACCAAAAAAACACUUACAAAAUGUUAGAAAAGAAUGGGAAGAAAAUUUCUAAAAUAGGAUAUUCUAAGAUGCCUUUUUUUAGUUAUCUUUCUUAGUUUUUCUAUAAUCAAAGAGAGUAAAAAAGGAAAAGAAAAGGUGAAGAUGGAAGAGAAUCAGAUAAUAGAGUACAAUUCACCAAUUAUCUUAAUUGCAAUAAUUUUCAAGAUUACCCUUAAGCCAUAUUUGACUCUUUUUUUUUUUCAAACUUUCCUCGCGUUUUAAAAUGAACUUCUUUACAAAUGGAAAAUCCCAUAACUUAACAUAAUAAAUGAUAUCUGUUAGCCCAAGGGUUCUCCUAAUCGGAUUUUGAUGAUAAGAAACCAUGGUUAAGUGACUAAUUGGUUUAAUAGUUAAGAAUCUUAGGCAUAAACUCGAAUAUUCAUCAAAUGACCAAAUGGAUACAACAUCGAGAAUUUUGGAAGACUUGUGAUCAUAGGAAAUGAAUGCAAGAUGAAUGCAUGAGUGCACUUAGGAUUUUCAUACCGUUUCAUGCAACUUAAAAUACUCGGUUUAUUCUUUAAAACUUCAAUUUCAUUAUAACCCGAGUUUUAACAAAUGUAUCUUAGGCAAAAUGUUUUAAAAUUGGCAUAAUAAUUCACUUAAAGACCUUGCCUAAGUGUUAGAAAAGAAAGGAAUUGAAAAAGAUAGGUUUUCGAGGCCAAAAGGCUCAACCGGUCGAGGCUUUGGCCAACCAGCUCAAUCGGUUGGGGAACUAGUCGACCGGUUGCCCUUGUCUGGUCGAGGUCUAGUCGAGAGAUGUCCCAAAUCUUCUCUCUCCUAGUAGCUUUCUCUUCCCGAUCGAGGUUCAUCUCUUCUCGGUUGAUGUUCGAUCGAGGCAACGGUAACCCGUCAAGCAUUAAAUGCUCCAACGGCUAGUGAACCGGUUGACCCCUAGCUCGACCGGUCGAGGUUACCUUUUAUUGUUUUUGGUUCUCGAGCUUAGAAACCUAUAAAUUGAGAGCUCCACUUCAUUUAUUGUAGAAAGAACACUUGCAAUCAAUUGUCUACCUACCUGUUCUUGACCAAAAAGCUCUCAUUUCUUUCUUAAUGCAUUAAAUCAUCACUUGCAUAUCCUUUAAUGCACUCUUGUGUGUCAUCCUAGCUUUGUCUUGUAUUUUGAGCUAUCCUUAAGCUAGGUUGAGGGAUUCAUUCUUGUAAAAGUUGAGUGUUAAAGCCUUUAAGAGGUUUGAAUCUUGAAGAGAUUGUGUAAGAGCCCAUUGGAGCCGGAAUCCAAGUGUAAGAAGAUUGGAAGCUUGGUUGAAGCUUCAAGUUAGUGGAACUCUCACUCGGUUAGGAGAUUGAGGAGAGUGGACGUAGGCAAGGAAGUGUCAAACCACUAUAAAACCCAAGUUUGAAUUCUCUAACUCUACAUCUUUAUUUUUGUUUAUAUUGUGCUUGAACUUGUUGUGUUUGAAAAGAUUUUAAAAAACCCAAUUCACAUCCCCCCUUUUUAAGUGUUUUUCUUAAUUAAGCAUAGCCUUCAUUUUCUCAAUAUCAAAAUAGAGAAGUUUGAACAUAAGUCAAUAGCAUGAGUAUAUUAUUUGGAUUCAUAGAGAUAGAAAGAAACCAAACUCUGUUAUUAUGUUGAAAAACCAAUUUUCCUAAAAGUUUAAACUUAUAGGAUUUGAGGUCAAUGUGUUUUAUGUCUAUUAACACUCAACACAUAUUUCAAUAAAAAAUUUCAUGAACUCCUCAAACAUUUAUACUACAUAUAACUUAGGGCACCAAAGAAUAUGAGUAAAAGGAGUAUAUGCUAGAAGUCAUUAUUUCUAAUGUUUAGUGGAUUUAAUAUUUAUAUUAUUAAAAAUUAAUAUUUAUGUAAGUAAAAAAUAUCUCAACAUAAAAUUAAAAAUUUUGAAUUAUUUCUAAAGAAAUGAAUUAAAUUUAGAAUUUUUAAAUUUUAGUUUUUAUUAUCUGAUUUACUAUUAAAUGCUCAUUGUUUUGGUUUUCUUUAUUUUUUCAAUGGUCUUUUUCCACGAAUUAUUUCAUAUGUCUAUAGUUUUUUCGAUCUUUGACACGUGGAUUAUCUUGGAAAAUGUUCUUAAUAACAAAGAAAUAUUCCUUCUCGUGAUGAGUAUGAACUAGAAUUCUCAUUUUUUAGCGAAUAAAACUCCCCAAUUUGGUGAGGAAAUGAGAUAGUCACUUUUUUUUUUUGUUACUCGCAUUAUGUACUCAAAGUAUUUAUCCAAAUAUCCGAUACACUUACGAAACCACACUUUUCCAUUUCCAUAAUGUAACAUACGUGACGAUAGGCUUGCACACUUGAAAAACAAUAUUGACAUUUAACAUCGAAGGAUUUAAUUAUGGUCUUGUGUUUUUUGGAGGUCCUAAAAAUAGGUGAAAACUUAAAAUAAGAUUGACUUGACCAACUCAACAUGUGAUUACGUUGUAUACGUCGAUGUGGUCAAUAGAAUUUAUUUCCCUUAACUUGGCAUCGAGUACGCUAGUGCCAGCCUUAUCUUCCCAUGGGAACUUGAACAAUUUGAGCAAUUGGCCAUUGCCAACCACAUUUUUAAGUAAUGUCUUCUUUCACCCUUCAAAUAUCUUAAAUCAAUUCAGUUUUAUGUAGAUAUCAUUUUCACUUUUAAACCUUACUUAUUAUCAUUAAGCUUUGUAACGUAGCCGCCACUCGCAAGUUGCAUCAAAAUUGAAGUUUAACCGUUGGGUAGGCACAAUUUUGAAGUGAUCAAGUUAUGAUACGUUUAAUACAACUGCAACUUGGUCCCAUUCAUAAAUGUGGUGUGGAGAUAGUACCAUAGUUUUAAAAGGUGCAAGGCACACCUAAGGCACAAAAGUAUCCUAUAGCUUAGGCACAAGGCACAACACAAAGCACGCACAUGAGUGAAGUGAAACCUAACCUAGUAUGCAUAUCAAUUUUAUAAAAUAUGAUACAAAACUCAAUCCACUCAAUAAAAAAUUUAUUAUUUUAAAAGAAGCAUUCAAAAAAAAGUAAUAAAAUUAUGUAGAUUUUAAUAUACAAUUAGAAAUUUCAAGAAUAAAAGUGUUUAAAAAUGAAAAGUAAAAUAGACAAGGCACGCCGCUUCAACAAGGCACAUGUCUUGGCAAGCAAUGUGCUAUAGCUAGGGAGUGGUUGUGCUUUGAGCCUAAGCGUGCUUUAAGCAAGCCUUUUAAAACUAUGGUUUGGUAACCGUUUUAAAAAACAAUCCUGAAAAAUAGUUUUUGAGAACAGUUUUUGAAAACUAUUCUCUGAUUCUUGUAGAAUAAAAGUAUAUUUGGAAACCUAAAAUGUUUUUAUCUUGUUUUUAAUAUUUUUAAAUAUGUUUUAAAAAUAAUUUUUAUAUCUAGUAUUUUAUUUUUAAUCAUUUUAUAUGUUUGUAUAAUUAUUUCUUAAAACAAUUAUCAGAAAACAAGUGAAAAAGUCAUAAAAUAAUUUUUAGUUGUCAAACACCUUUUCUAUGUUUUUUGUUCUAGAAAACAAAAAACUAUUUUCAAAACCAGUUCCCAAACAUGCCUUUAAUAUGGGGUUGAAUGUAUUUUUUUUUUUUUCUUGCUUUCAAGGUAUUAAGGAAUUAUAUUCUUAAUUUUUUUCCCAUCUAUUUUCCCCACAAUCAAAGAAGCAUUAUUUAUUGUUAUACUUCCAUGACAAGGAAAGGAAGACAAAACAAAAUGUUGUAUAAUCUGAGACUUGGUGCUACAUGGCUGCAAGACUCUCUAGGAGCUAAGGAGCAUGAAGAAAGUACAACCAAUUCUGAAUUACAAUUCUUUGAUAUGAAGACCAUAGUUGCAGCCACAAAUAAUUUCUCUUCUAAGAACGAACUUGGAUGUGGGGUUUUGGCUCAAUUUAUAAGGUAGUUAGCCAUUCUCAAAUUUGUGAUGAAUAUUGAAAUUGUUGGACUUUCUUUCAUUGCUCAAGUAUCACACUAAGCUGAAUUUUCCAUAAAAUAAUUCUACAUGAUGAUUAUCAGGGUCAACUAUCUAAUGGACAAGAAAUAACUAUGAAAAGAUUAUCAAAGGAUUUGGGACAAGGAAAAAAAGAAUUUAAGAAUGAAGUAACACUUAUUGCUAAACUCCAACACAUAAAUGUUGUGAGGCUUUUGGGUUGUUGCAUUCAAGGAAAAGAGAAGAUGUUCGUUUAUGAGUCCUUGCCAAACAAAAGUUUGAACUUUUUCAUUUUUAGUAUGUACCAUUUCUUUUCUAUCAUUUCCAUUUCUUUAAUCUUCUAAGGUUCUUGCAUAAUCACUUGGAGAAGUUAUUUGCCUAAUAAAAAUCAUUAUUAGUAUAUCCUAACAUUGUUUUAUUGAUUGACAUUUUAUAUAUUUUUGGGCUAGAUGAAAAAAAAAAGUCAGUGUUAGAUUGGAGAAAACGCUUUGAAAUUAUUAUGGGAAUUGCUCAAGGAAUCUUAUAUCUUUAUGAGGACUCUAGAUUAAGAGUCAUACAUAGAGAUCUAAAAGCAAGCAAUGUUCUACUAGAUGUUGAAAUGCUUCCAUAAUUUUCAGAUUUUGGCAUGGCUAGAAUAUUUGGAGGAAAACAAAUGGAAGGAAACACAAAUCGAGUAGUUGGAACAUAGUAAGUGUCAUGUUUGAUAUGCCAAAGAAACAUAAUAGUUAAUAUGUUUUAAUAGUUUCUUUAUUUUCUAUUACAGUGGUUACAUAUCACCUGAGUAUACGAUGGAAGGGUUAUUUUCAACAAAAUCUAAUGUCUAUAACUUUGGAGUUUUGUUGUUAGAGAUUGUUACUAGAAGAAAAAAUAGCACUUAUUAUCAUGACAAUCCAUUAACUUAGUUGGAAAUGUGAAUGAAUUGAAUGUGUGUUGCAUUACUUUUUUCUUUUCAUUCUUUAUAGUAAGUUAAUAAUGAUAAAAUUCAUAGUUUUGGAUCCUAUGGGAAGAAGACAAAGCCUUGGAUAUAAUCGAUCUGUCACUUGAGAAGUCAUACCCUGUAGAUGAAGUAUUGAGAUGCAUCCAAAUUGGGCUCUUAUGUGUGCAAAAAUCUACAACAGAUCGACCUACCAUGUUGACAAUUAUUUUCAUGUUUGGUAACAACUCUUCUCUUCAUUUUCCUAAACGGAUUGCAUUUAUGUCAAAAACAACUCAUAGGGGGCAAGACCUAUCAUCUUAUGGUGAAGGAAUUUUCUCUAUAAAUGAUGUGACCAUGACUUUGCUUCAACCUCGCUAAAUGCUUACACUCUCAC